UGGGAAACUGCCUGAUGGAGGGGGAUAACUACUGGAAACGGUAGCUAAUACCGCAUAACGUCGCAAGACCAAAGUGGGGGACCUUCGGGCCUCAUGCCAUCAGAUGUGCCCAGAUGGGAUUAGCUAGUAUGUGGGGUAACGGCUCACCUAGGCAACGAUCCCUAGCUGGUCUGAGAGGAUGACCAGCCACACUGGAACUGAGACACGGUCCAGACUCCUACGGGAGGCAUCAUUGGGGAAUAUUGCACAAUGGGCGCAAGCCUGAUGCAUCCAUGCCGCGUGUGUGAAGAAGGCCUUCGGGUUGUAGAGCACUUUCAGCGGGGAGGAAGGCGUUAAGGUUAAUAACCUUGGCGAUUGACGUUACCCGCAGAACAAGCACCGGCUAACUCCGUGCCAGCAGCCGCGGUAAUACGGAGGGUGCAAGCGUUAAUCGGAAUUACUGGGCGUAAAGCGCACGCAGGCGGUCUGUCAAGUCGGAUGUGAAAUCCCCGGGCUCAACCUGGGAACUGCAUUCGAAACUGGCAGGCUAGAGUCUUGUAGAGGGGGGUAGAAUUCCAGGUGUAGCGGUGAAAUGCGUAGAGAUCUGGAGGAAUACCGGUGGCGAAGGCGGUCCCCUGGACAAAGACCGACGCUCAUGUGCGAAAUCGUGGGGAGCAAAUUGGAUUAUAUACCCUGGUAGUCCACGCCGUAGACGAUGUCGAUUUGGAGGUUGUGCCCUUGAGGCGUGGCUUUCGGAGCUAACGCGUUAAAUCGACCGCCUGGGGAGUACGGCCGCAGGGUUAAAACUCAAAUGAAUUGACGGGUGCCCGCACAAGCGGUGGAGCACGUGGUUUAAUUCGAUGCAACGCGUAUAAACUUACCUGGUCUUGACAUCCACAUAAGUUUCCCCAGAUGGAUUGGUGCCUUCGGGAACUGUUAGACAGGUGCUGCAUGGCUGUCGUCAGCUCCCGGUGUGAAAUGUUAGGGUUAAGUCCCGCACCACGUACCUCUUUAUUUUUUGUUUGCACGGGGUUUUUUCCCGGAAAUCCCAAGGAAAAUGCCCCUGUUUACCCGAGGAAAGGU
rnacentral:rRNA from 1 species